rnacentral:siRNA from 1 species
AACCCUAAGAACAACCACAACCA